UAAGUAUGUUGUGCCUUCAUACCUGGGA
rnacentral:piRNA from 1 species